UAUCAUUCUAAGUCAGUGUAUCAGACGCCCAGGACUCUGAAAAAUCAGGGUUCCCAGACAAACCCAACACUUGGUAUGAGCAGCGCUUCUUUAUUAUAAAACUAACAUCACUGAAAGCUUUUUUUUUUUUAAAGACCAAAAAUAUCACAUCUUAGGCAAAUGAGUUGAAAAUCCCUCAGAGUGACACCCUAUUUUUUUUCCACCCAUUUCUAAAGUCAGAGGACACCUGGUAAAGAAGCUGGUUUUUAGAUAAAGAAAUGCAAUUCCUGGUGCACGCGGUUUCCUGGUGGUACAGCACUGAAGUGACAUCAUGGAAAUAUUUGUACCUCAAGAGCCCUCCUUGAUGUGAGCACAAGGGACCUCCAUGCUCCUACUUCUGCUGGUCUCCAUUUCACCAGGCGCCUCCCUCCGACUUCCAAUUGGCCACAAGCUUCGUCGCUCUCUCUCAAAGCAAUUUUGUGUGUGAGUAUAGUCAGAAGGCUCCAAAGGCAACAUCUGGGUCUGGUCACUGAAGACAGAUGGGCUCCUUCUACUUCUUCUCCCAUCCCCUGGAGGCCUCUGCCAGAGGGUAACAUGCUAUUUGAAUGUAAUGAUACGCUGGUGAAAUUUUACUGGCUAGUGUUAUGUUUAGUGCAUCCUUAUCUUUAGGACCCGUUCUGUACAGACCUCCUCAUUACAGAUGGAUUUCUCGAUUUCAAAACAUUCCUGGGCUUUCUAAAUGCUGUCAUUGAACUAAUUCUUAUGAUUUUUCUUCCAUUACUUUCUUUAUACUUCCAAGUCCUCUUUAUCUGACAUUGAACCUGAAGCCAGUUUCCUGAAAAUAAUCACUUGUGCUACUGUGGUUAUGAACCAAUAAAAGGUUCAGGGUUGAUUUGGAUUUAUUUUGUACUGUGCCAUCAUCAAAUCCUUGAUAUUUUCUCCGGGUGUGAAGACCUCAUACACUCAGACUUAACCUGUUUCAUUUUCCUCUUUUUCUUCCCUUUAAGGAACAAGGUCGAAAAUGUUCUACUUUGGUUAUAAGAACUAAGGUUUUCCUAGAGUAGUGAUUAGCAGUAAUAAAAAGGUUUUAUUAAACAUUAACAAAGAGCCAGAUGCAAAGGCAAGAGCUUUGGAGC
rnacentral:lncRNA from 10 species